rnacentral:lncRNA from 1 species
CCAUGACACACAAUCACAGCUGCCCUCCUCUGAGUAAGGACACAAUUCAGCACAGAGCUCUGCCCCACUGCUGGGAAUUACAGGUGGCGUCUGUGAAAAUGUCUGACACUGCUGUUGUCACUGCUGCUUCCAUUUGCUCUGCAGUCCCUCAGAGGAGGACAGCACACUCCAAAAGAGGAAGUAGAAGACAAUGAGGAGGUGCCCUUCCAAAAUCUCCUUACCAGAACCAAGAGCAACAGCAAAGCUAAAGAUUAACAAGCAGCAGAUGCA